rnacentral:rRNA from 1 species
UGCGGCUGGAUCACCUCCUUC